rfam:Ixodes scapularis strain Wikel colony gcontig_1108378443960, whole genome shotgun sequence.
CCCUGGUUAGCUCAGUUGGAACUUGGUAGAGCGCUCCACUUGUAAUGGAGAGGACCCGGGUUGCCCGGGUUCGAUACCCGGACCAGGCG